rnacentral:rRNA from 1 species
GUCCACGCCGUAAACGAUGAGUACUAGGUGUUGCGGGUAUUGACCCCUGCAGUGCCGCAGCUAACGCAUUAAGUACUCCGCCUGGGAAGUACGGUCGCAAGACUAAAAACUCAAAGGAAUUGACGGGGGCCCGCACAAGCGGUGGAGCAUGUGGUUUAAUUCGACGCAACGCGCAGAACCUUACCUGGGCUUGACAUCUACGGAACCCUCAUGAAAGUGAGGGGUGCCUUUCGGGGAGCCGUAAGACAGGUGCUGCAUGGCUGUCGU